rnacentral:lncRNA from 1 species
GGAGUCUUGAGAGAACAUUAUUCAUUGGAACUGCAUAGGGGGAGGUUACUAUUCUAUCGGGGGGCAUUCACUACAGAGAGGGAUCAUCGAUUUCGCGAGAGAUUUUCUCAUCUUCACUUGCAGAGAGGAACAAGGGGCGCCAACCAGAGGGAGGAGAAGGAGGCCAAGCACGAAGCUGACUAAGACAAGUAGAGGGGUAAGUAUCCUUGCUCCUUCUGUUGCAUGGUAAGUUGCUUUUGUUCUGGCUGAGUAUGAUAUGAUAGUAUGAAUAUGUUCCUUUAUCCGCCAUUGUUCAACGCACAAGUGCUUCACCUUUAAUCAAUCCUCUCCUUGAUUCUUCCUCGGAUGGCUUCCAUGCGCCAUUUUACUGCUUAUAUUUCCAUGUUCAUCCUACUUGAUAUACCCUGUUCAUGGUUCCCCUGCUACACAUAAGCCAACAAAGAAUCAACCAAUCUUCCAGCCCCAUUCACGGUCCUAUUCUCCUCAUCACUACCGCGUCUUCAUACACCAUUUGCAAACCAAAUCAACCCUUUCCAUCGCAACAUCAACACGCACAGUGCCCCUCAUACCACACACAUAACACCAAAAAAAACUCACACGUAGUUAAACAGAAAAUCACACAGAGCACCACAGAACCGAACCAAUGGUACCCGUGCCAUACCCCCCUUUACCUGCAUCAAAUGAAUCCACCGCCAUCCCAUAGCCACUUUUCGAUUUCUCUCCGCCGUCAAGAUCAUCUAAUGGACUCCAUAUGUCGUUCACAUCCCCAUUAUCAUCCUUGUCAUUACACCUCUGUUCCUAGCUUCCCUGCAGAAAAAUAUCACAAAAGAGAACAAACCAAUAUUCAAACCCAAACCCCCA